AAUUAUUGUAUGACAACUACAAUAAUAAGUUUUAAGAGCUCUACUUUGUUCCAGAAUAUUCAUUGGCAUGGCAAGGAAAGGUAAAUUGUGUCAGGCAGAUGCAAAAAUCUUCCUCCCCACCUCACCUCCAUGACAAUUAGAGUAUCUUAGUGACGUCAUUGCUCUAAUGAGCUAGUCUUCCAGCCCAAAUAAAUAGAUGUUUUAGGGACCUUUUGCAAAACAAGAUAAAUGUGACUAUGUGGCCAUCUCUGGGACUAUAAUCACAUGUAACAAGCUCGGAGUGAGAUUUAAUCCUAGGGCAUUUUGAAAGACUCCAGAGUAUAUAUACCUGUCUUCCUUUUAUUUCUCUAUUGCUUUAUAGCCCAAGUCGAUGGGAACAUUUUUGUUUUGUUUUUUUACAUUUUGUUUGUACAUUUGUUUAAUUGCCCUUUGGGCUUCACUUUAAAAAAAAUACUGGAUUUCAUUUGUUUACAAUUUAAUCUUUGAUCUUACACAGUUAGAGUGACAGUUCUUUAAAAAAUCAACAGCAUAAAUGUAUGUUUUCUGGUAUUGAUAAUACCACAGAUUCAUGAUGAUAAAAAGCCAAGGUUUUAGCAGAACUAUAAGUUUAUUCUUCAAUUUCAGUUCUUUGUUUCAAUUCCAUUUUAUUUCUUACAUAAGCAGGUGAGCAUGCUUCAAAAAAUUGCCAUUCCGGAGAGCAGUUUUUCUUUCUGAAGGGUAUAUCCAGUCCACAAAAGUGUUGUCACGAAGCCAAACGCGGUCAUCCAAAGGACAAAUGUACCAUUGCCACACAGAACAGAAAAGAAAAUAAUCAACAUUAGGUUUUAAAUGCACAUAGUUACUUCAGAUUGUUUGAACUACCAACAGCCAUUAUGGGAGAACUUUUAAAGAUUUAAAUUCAGGAGUUCAGCGUUUAAAAAAGAGUAGCAGAAUAAUGUUGACUUUUAAUGUGUUAGGGAGCUAUAUUAUUUUCUCAUUUCAAGAAAGUCAAAGCCUAUUCAAGUUCAUUUUGAGAAUUUACGUAUGGUUUUAAAACGCCAUGUCAUUUUUUAUCAUUAAUACAGUAAUGCUUAUCUUUACUUUUCAUUCUAGAAUUUCUUAGUGUUCAGUAUGCCCCUUAAUAAAUUAUUAUUUAUUAAGCCAAUUGUCUUCCACUGUGAAAUUAUGCACUUACCUAUACUGCUAAAGUUUGGACAGAAUUUAAAUGGUAUUUAUGGUAUAAUUCAGAUAAAUCAUCCUUUUCCCUACAGAGCAAACAAGAGAAAUCAACAUUUCUUUGUCUGCUGGUGGCUAGAUUUUGUUCCCUCAGGAAUAUUUGUAAACAACUGUUGCCAUUGCUAAACCUCAGGAGAAAUGGAUUAAUAAAAUGUUUAGGAAAAUUAUCAGAAAAAAAUGAAUCCCCUUUAAUCCCUUGGGUGAGGUGCCAUGGUUAAAUCCCCUAAAGCUUCAUUAUCCAUGAGUGUAUUUAUCUGAAACCUUGAAAAUGGACAUUUAAGGAGUUAAUACAAAGUCCAGGUUGUUUAAGCUUCAUAUAUUUUUAAUUACACCACUAUGUCCGUAUUUGUGCAGAAAUUUUGGUCCAGUUUAGUUGCCUCAACUUAGUUUUUCCUGUGCCUUCAUUCCGAGCUCCUACAGCAAGUUUUAAGAAAGAUGGGUUUUAAACCUUUUGUUUCCUGCCCGACUGAAUACCUUGACGUUUUUCUCAUUUAUAUACAGGAACAAACACAUGCCACACACACACAAAGUCGAUACUGUUGACCUUUGCUUUAUUUCUAGGAACUGGGACUAUCUGGACUCGGUGUCAGCCACUACUCGUAUCGUAUCAAAGUUCUCCUCAGUAGAAGGAUCUGUUGAAUAUUUUUGCCUCCCAGCUGAGCAAGGGGAAUACUGUCAGCUUUUUAAAAUACAGUCUAAAUGCUUGGUUAUAACUACUCAUCUGUCAAGUUGACACCUCAUUAAAAAAAAAAAGAUGAGAGAGUUAACAUUACAAGGCCCUAGAAGAAAGACAUGUUGCAAUUCAAGUCCGUAUUCUUAACCUUGUCCUGUUACUGUGAAGACUCAUGGGUCUGUCCAGUUAGUCUCUCCUCAUUGCCUGAAAGCAUCCCUUGCUCCAGCGGUCCUUGUCUCACAAAUCAUUCUCCAGCCAACUUUUCACAUUUUCUCUUCACGCUUGAGACUGCUUCAUGGGAUCCUGAUCAUUUGGUGUUUCUUCUCCUUUCCUUUUUGAGCAAAGUGAGGACAAAUGAGUCAGAAAGAGGAGAGAAGAUAAAGAGGGUGACUAACUCAGGACCACUUCUGUCACUUGUAGUGGCUGAGGGCCAGGCGAUACUCCAGUGACACGCUCCCAGCUGGCCCCAUCACACGGCCAUCAAGAACCUACUGUGAUCAUCAGAUACUACAUCAGAUACUUCGACAUUUAUUCCUUACAGCUAAAUCUUUAAGGAAGGAUAGUGCACAUACUGAGUGAAGGAAUCAGACUUCAGAAUCCUCUUAAGCUCCAGACUUCUCCCGGACUCCCUCCUGGCCAGCUGUGGCGCACUAACCCCCUUCAGGCUGUGUUCACGCCGCCAACCCCAGACCUCUCCCAGGGAUCCGACCGAAGCCUGAGCCUCAGCUCCCAGCCCCUGCCCGCCCCGGCGGGUGAGCAGACAAGCCUCUCGGCCUGGUGAGUGCUGGGCGGCACCGAUCCUCUGUGCGGGAAUCUCCCCGCUUUGCCCUCCGCACCCUGUGGCUGCGCUCUCCUCCAAGGCUCCGAAGCUUCCCCCCUCCGCCACCCGCAGUCUCUGCCCACGAAGGGGCUCCUAGUGUGUGGAAACCUUUCUUCCUUCACAGCUCCCUCCCACUGCUGCAGGUCCCGUCCCUAUUCUUUUGUCUCUGUUUAUUCUUUUUUCUUUUGCCCUACCCAGGUAUGUGGGGAGUUUCUUGACUUUUGAGAGGUCUGAGGUCUUCUGCCAGUGCUCAGUGGGUGUUCUGUAGGAGUUGUUCCACGUGUAGAUGUAUUUCUGAUGUAUCUGUGGGGAGGAAGGUGAUCUCCACGUCUAACUUUUCAGCCAUCUUGAAGGUCUGUCUGUCUCUCCUUAACUAGUUUUAAUGGUAAAUUUUACUGUGAGUAAACAUGAAUGAUAUAUGUGCAGUUUGUAUAAACAAACACUUUGUUUCUUUUUUAAAAAAUAAUUUAGUAUGUUUGUUUUUUUAAAAAUUUAUUUAUUUACUUAUUUUUGUCUGCGUUGGGCCUUCAUUGCUGCGUGCGGGCUUUCUCUAGUUGUUUCGAGCAGGGGCUACUCUUCGUUGUGGUGUACGGGCUUCUCAUUGUGGCUACUCUUGUUUCAGAGCACGGGAUCUAGGUGCACGAGCUUCAGUAGUUGUGGCUCGUGGCCUCUGGAGCGCAGGCUCAGCUCAGUAGUUCUGGCACACGGGCUUAGUUCCGUGGCAUGUGGGAUCUUCCCAGACCAGGGCUCGAACUCAUGUCCCCUGCAUUGGCAUAUGGAUUCUCAUCCACUGCACCACCAGGGAAGCCCUAAACACCUUGUUUCCAUUUAUCUGAUGCAAGGGCAAGUUCAUGGUGUUUUUGAAAAAUGAAUCAUAGAAAGUUUGGAGAAUGUUCAGUCCAAUUUAGUCAACAAAUGAGAAAAGUGAUCUUCAGAGUGAUAAUUAUUUUAUUCAAGAUAACUAGCACAUGACCAAGGCAGAACGAGACCCUGUCCUUCUGAUCACUUGCCCAAGUCGGUGUUUACCACUUGGGCGUUGUUAACUUAAUAAGAGCACGUGUAAUUACGUUAAAAAGGAAUGUUUAAGCAACAGUGCUGAAAAGGAGAAUAUAAUAUGGAUGGCAGGGAAGUGAUUUUUUAAGACAUUCUCAGAGCAGAUGUUAACGGCCAGCAGGCACGGCCUGGAUGUUCUUGGAGGCUCACAGGGGAGUGAGACAAAAUCAAUUUCUUAUUCUAGUCCCUCGCUUCUAUGCAUUUAAAUGGUCCUGCGGCAGCCUUAACAUCUAUAGUCCCUUUAAUAAGAGACAGCAUGGGGCUUUGCUGGUGGCGCAGUGGUUAAGAAUCCGCUUGACAAUGCAGGGGACACGGGUUCGAGCCCUGAUCCAGGAAGAUCCCACAUGCCGUGGAGCAGCUAAACCUGUGCACCAAAACUACUGAUCCUGCGCUCUAGAGCCCGCAAGCCGCAACUACUGAGCCCACACACCACAACUACUGAGCCCACGCGCCUAGAGCCCGUGCUCCGCAACAAGAGAAGCCACCGCAAUGAGAAGCCCGCGCACCACAACGAAGAGUAGCCCCCGCUCGCCACAACUAGAGAAAGUCUGCGCAGCAACCAAGACCCAAGGCAGCCAAAAAUAACUAAACAAAUAAAUUUAUAAAAAAAAAAAUAUAGCAUGAACUUUUGUUUCGUUUUCUUGGUCUGUAUUGUUGUGAUUUCUUUUCAGCACACAGAUAGUACCCUGGAGCAUUCCUCUAGAAUAUGUAAAGGUAAGACGGGAGGAGUAAUUGUUCUCCCAAAUUAGAGUUGGUAACAGAUAAUUUAGGGAGUUGAAGUUUCAAGUACCAUGUAUUUAUUUUUGUUUUUGUUUUCAUCACAGGGAAUAGAGAGGGAUCUGGGGCACGACGUUUAUUUAAUCUAAAAGGACAGCCAAGGGCUUCCCUGGUGGCGCAGUGGUUGAGAAUCUGCCUGCUAAUGCAGGAGACACGGGUUCGAGCCCUGGUCUGGGAAGAUCCCACAUGCCGCGGAGCAACUGGGCCCGUGAGCCACAACUACUGAGCCUGCGCGUCUGGAGCCUGUGCUCCGCAGCGAGAGAGGCUGCGAUAGUGAGAGGCCCGCGCACCGCGAUGAAGAGUGGCCCCCGCUCGCCACAGCUAGAGAAAGCCCUCGCACAGAAACGAAGACCCAACACAGCAAAAAUAAAUAAAUUAAUAAACUCCUAUCCCCAACAUACAUAAAAAAAAAAUAAAUAAAAAAUAAAAUAAAAUAAAAGGACAGCCACUUAAAAACAUACAAAGGACUUUUUCCUGGCAGUGUUGUUAUUACAGCUCAGAAGAUGCUGUUUGUUUUAUAUUCAGCCUCUACUCUGGUUAAAGAAGGCAAUUUGUUCCUCCUCAAAGGUUUUCAAGAUGGAUUUAAAAUAUUUUGACUUUUAAGUUAUGCAGUUUUUUCCAAAACUUUAAAAGCCAAUUCAGGAUCAGCUCCCCCUGUUCCAACGCCAAAGGAAGAUUAAAAUAAUAACUCACACAGAUGCCCACACUACCCGAAAAUGUGCACUUUGGGAAGUUAGGUGUUUGUUAAAUACAAUUUGAACAUAAGUG